UUUUUGCGUUAACGAUUGAAGCGGCAUCCUUUUUUCUUUUCAGAAAAAAGAUAUAGCGAAAAGCGUGUUAAAAC
rnacentral:sRNA from 1 species